UACAGAGGGGGCAAGCGUUGUUCGGAAUUACUGGGCGUAAAGGGCGCGUAGGCGGUCUGCUAAGCGUGCGGUGAAAGCCUGGGGCUCAACCCCAGGUCUGCCGUGCGAACUGGUGGACUAGAGCACUGUAGAGGCGAGUGGAAUUCCCGGUGUAGCGGUGAAAUGCGCAGAUAUCGGGGAGGAACACCAGUAGCGAAGGCGGCUCGCUGGGCCAUUCCUGACGCUGAGACGCGAAAGCUAGGGGAGCGAAACGGGG
rnacentral:rRNA from 1 species